AUUGAACGCUGGCGGCAGGCCUAACACAUGCAAGUCGAGCGAGCGGCGGACGGGUGAGUAAUGUAUGGGGACUGCCCGAUAUCGGGGUAUAACUAUUGGAAACGUUGGCUAAUACCGCUUACUAUCGUUUAGCCCAUAGGGGAUUAGCUAGUAGGUGGGGUAAAGGUUCACCUAGGCGACGAGGUCUAGCUGGUCUGAGAGGAUGAUCAGCCACACUGGGACUGAGACACGGGCCAGACUCCUACGGAGGCAGCAGUGGGGAAUAUUGCACAAUGGGCGAAAGCCGGAUGCAGCCAUGCCGCGUGAAUGAAGAAGGCCUUAGGGUUGUAAAGUACUUUCGGCGGGGAGGCGGUACCCGAAGAAGAAGCACCGGCUAACUCCGUGCCAGCCGCCGCGGUAAUAC
rnacentral:rRNA from 1 species